UAACGACUCUCGGCAACGGAUAUCUCGGCUCUCGCAUCGAUGAAGAACGUAGCGAAAUGUGAUACUUGGUGUGAAUUGCAGAAUCCCGUGAACCAUCGAGUCUUUGAACGCAAGUUGCGCCUGAAGCCAUCAGGCUAAGGGCACGUCUGCUUGGGCGUC
rnacentral:rRNA from 1 species